rnacentral:tRNA from 1 species
ACACUGGUGGUUCAGUGGUAGAAUUCUUGCCUUCCUUGCAGGAGAUCCAGGUUUGAGUCCUGACCAAUGCA